UACGGAGGGUGCAAGCGUUAUCCGGAUUUACUGGGGUUAAAGGGUGCGCAGGCGGAUAUGUAAGUCAGUGGUGAAAUCUCUAGGCUUAACCUGGAAAUUGCCGUUGAUACUAUAUAUCUUGAAUGUUGUGGAGGUAAGCAGAAUAUGUCAUGUAGCGGUGAAAUGCUUAGAUAUAACAUAGAAUACCUAUUGCGAAGGCAGCUUACUACGCAGAUAUUGACGCUCAUGCACGAAAGCGUGGGGAUCAAACAGG
rnacentral:rRNA from 1 species